rnacentral:rRNA from 1 species
UACGUAGGGUGCAAGCGUUAUCCGGAUUCACUGGGUUUAAAGGGUGCGUAGGCGGAUAGGUAAGUCCGUGGUGAAAAUCCUGCAGCUUAACUGCGGAACUGCCGUGGAUACUAUCUAUCUUGAAUGUCGUGGAGGUUAGCGGAAUAUGUCAUGUAGCGGUGAAAUGCUUAGAUAUGACAUAGAACACCCAUUGCGAAGGCAGCUAACUACGCGAUAAUUGACGCUGAUGCACGAAAGCGUGGGGAUCAAACAGG